rnacentral:lncRNA from 1 species
CUACUUCUGGUCCUAUUCAAAAUACAAUACAAUAAUCACUAAUUGUUUUUUCUAGGUCCUAUAUUUCCGGUGUAUGGUGUCCUCAGGGCUUGGUUCUUAUGACACAGUCUUCUUCCCAUCCUCACAUAUGUCUUUAUGUGUGGUUCGAUGUUGUUGUUGCCAUCCGAUGUGUUUUGGGACAUUCGAACAUCAUCGGUCUUCGAAAACCCACCUUCAACCAAAAUAAAUAUAAUGUAAACACAACAACAAAUAAACAAUAAACCCACAAGGGCUCGAACAACCCACAAAGAAACCAAAAACCCAUAAAUCAAUAACCACAAACAAAGUACCCUUACCACAACAUCAAGAACAUAAGAACGCAAGAACGCAAAACAAUAACCCAAAACCCAAAAACGCAACAACGCGAACCAAAAACCUAAAACUCAACAACGCAACAAACCAGAAACCCAAACACCUAAAACACCAAAAACGCAACAACGCUACAACCCAAUAACCCAAACCAAAAACCCAAAACACCAAGAACACAACAACGCAAGAAUCUGACAACCCAAAACAAAAAAAACAACAACGCAUUUACCUUGCUCCAACGAACGUCCUUUCCCGGACUUCCCAUUUCCACCAAACGACAACAAAGUACAACCAUAAACCAAGCAUCAGAGACAGAAAGUAGGAGGAGAAUGAGGAAGGACAACCAAAUGCGAGAGAGAAGCAAAUCGGAAACAAAAUAUAAUAAAACAGGCCAAGGAUAUAUUUGGAAAGACAAAUAUUUUAAACCCUUCUCCCAAGUUUUUCUAAAAAAAAAAAGACCAAUGUCAUUUUGACACUUAUCGGUGUCAAAAUUGUGUCAAAAAAGUUGUGUUAAAAUAACGGAAUACAAACAUAAAUAAAAGAGCAUCCCAGAGACGAGCACAGGAGAGAAAGCCUCAGCAAUUCCUCUCACUUUAUAUUUACUUUUUGUAAUUAUUCUUAUUUCUAUUCAGAUCAAUGGAUUCGGUGGAGACGGAACCGCUCUUGUCAGGGUUUUCUGCAGGAGAAGAAACUCC